rnacentral:lncRNA from 1 species
CGCAUGCGCAGGAUGCACGUGUGUUUCCUGGCCCAGAACAAACCGUGGCCCCAUAGUAGUCGUUUGAACUGUCGCGAAACGGACAGGCACUGCGUUAAGCCAACUGUGUUAAAGAUUGUUCCUCUCCUCUGAUCGCUUCUGUACUUCCACCCCCUCUGGAGUGGCAACCAUUACUUUUCUUCUUUACCGGUUGAUUGUGAAAGUGAGAGGAGCAGUGAGCCUGAAGUUUAGGUCCCAUUUACUAAAAGAUCUUUCAUAGGCUGGUUGGUAGGUAGAAAGGGAUUUUGUCUGAACUCCACCCUCUGGAUUAUGUUUACCAAGGUCAAGUUCAAUAAAUCCUAUCGUCAAGUCCCUAAUCUGUAAAGUGGGUAUACUAUUUCUUACAAGAUAGGGGGAUGGAGGGAAGAGAGUCAACAUUAUUAGCUGCUCAGCACAUUGCUUAACGCCCUGACUUGAGUCUAGAUGAUGAUACAGUUUAUCCUUAGCUUCUAUCCCUG